rnacentral:rRNA from 1 species
UACGGAGGAUGCAAGCGUUAUCCGGAUUCAUUGGGUUUAAAGGGUGCGUAGGCGGAAUAUUAAGUCAGUGGUGAAAUCCUGCAGCUUAACUGUAGAACUGUCAUUGAUACUGGUAUUCUUGAAUGCAGUUGAGGUAGGCGGAAUGUGUAAUGUAGCGGUGAAAUGCUUAGAUAUUACACAGAACACCGAUUGCGAAGGCAGCUUACUAAACUGUGAUUGACGCUGAGGCACGAAAGCGUGGGGAGCAAACAGG